rnacentral:rRNA from 1 species
CAGUAGCCACGGGAAUACGGAGGGUGCAAGCGUUAAUCGGAAUUACUGGGCGUAAAGCGCACGCAGGCGGUCUGACAAGUCAGAUGUGAAAUCCCCGGGCUUAACCUGGGAACUGCAUUUGAAACUGUCAGGCUGGAGUCUUGUAGAGGGGGGUGGAAUUCCAGGUGUAGCGGUGAAAUGCGUAGAGAUCUGGAGGAAUACCGGUGGCGAAGGCGGCCCCCUGGACAAAGACUGACGCUCAGGUGCGAAAGCGUGGGGAGCAAACAGGAUUAGAUACCCGAGUAGUCCCUGUCUUUAUACA